AGAGUGGCCGAAAUGGAUCAGACGUUUCCAGAGAUACCGUGUCGCGUCGGGACUGAACAAAAGAGAUGACGAAUUCCAGGUCAAUACUCUUAUUUACUUUAUGGGUGAUGAAGCGGAGGAUAUUUUGAAUGCUUCCACUUUAACGGCAGAUGAAAAGCUCAGCUACACUGCAGUUGAAAACUGUUUCAAUAACCAUUUUGUGGGAAAGCAUAACGUCAUUUUUGAGAGAGCCAAGUUUAAUAUGCGCAAACAAGAACCCGGCGAGUCAGCUGAUAGCUUUAUAACGGCCGUCCAUAAGCUUGCAGAACAUUGUAAUUUUGGACCUUUAAAAGACGAAUUAAUACGUGAUCGCAUUGUCGUGGGAAUAAGAGACAGGUCUCUUUCAGAAAAACUCCAGCUGGACUCAGACUUGACGUUAAGCAGAGCUGUCGGUAAGGUGAAACAGAACGAGAUGGUAAAACAGCAGCAGGCUAUUAUGCGGGGCAGUUCUUCACAGACUGAUGAGCAAAGUGAAGUGGAUGCAGUUUCAGGACCAGUAAAAAGAAAACAGACAACGUAUAACAGCAAACAACAAGCAGGAUAUGAGACGAAACAGACAGAGAAUGUACCAAACAUGAGUAAAUGUUCAAGAUGUGGCAGAAUCCCCUCUCAUGGUUGGAAAGAAUGUCCAGCUAAGGAUGCUGAAUGCCGUAACUGCCACAGAAGGGGGCAUUUUGCAGUAGUUUGUCGUUCCAGGCAACAGGUGCAGGAAGUGUUCGAACAGCAAGAUAUACAGGAGGACUCCCUUUAUUUAGGUGAAGUAAAAGACCACAACACAGGAUGGUAUACAGACAUAACUCUAAAUGUGGAAAACAUUUCAUUCAAAAUUGAUACCGGCGCUGCGGUCACAGCCAUCCCCACAAAACUAUAUGACUACAGGAGGGACGGACCUUUGAUGGAAUCAAAGAAAAAACUGUGCGGGCCCAAUAAUAAACGGCUACUAGUGGAAGGACAGGUAAUGUGCAAAUUGGAAAGCAAAGACAUCUCGACCUCUCAAACUGUUUUUGUAAUUGAUUCACUUUCCAGACCCCUAUUGGGCCUGCCAGCUACUGAGGCAUUACAGCUUGUUGAACGGAUUGAUGCAGUCGAAUUAACUGAAGAAAAGUUCAAAAAGAAAUUUCCAAAAG
rnacentral:lncRNA from 1 species